GAUGAACGCUGGCGGCGUGCCUAAUACAUGCAAGUCGAGCGAACAGACGAGGAGCUUGCUCCUCUGACGUUAGCGGCGGACGGGUGAGUAACACGUGGAUAACCUACCUAUAAGACUGGGAUAACUUCGGGAAACCGGAGCUAAUACCGGAUAAUAUAUUGAACCGCAUGGUUCAAUAGUGAAAGACGGUUUUGCUGUCACUUAUAGAUGGAUCCGCGCCGCAUUAGCUAGUUGGUAAGGUAACGGCUUACCAAGGCAACGAUGCGUAGCCGACCUGAGAGGGUGAUCGGCCAAACUGGAACUGAGACACGGUACAGACUCCUACGGGAGGAAGCAGUAGGGAAUCUUCCGCAAUGGGCGAAAGCCUGACGGAGCAACGCCGCGUGAGUGAUGAAGGUCUUCGGAUCGUAAAACUCUGUUAGUAGGGAAGAACAAAUGUGUAAGUAACUAUGCACGUCUUGACGGUACCUAAUCAGAAAGCCACGGCUAACUACGUG
rnacentral:rRNA from 1 species